AAUGAAUGAUGACAACUUGUUUCGGUCCCAUAUGAGUAAAUGAUUAUUUUUUUCCAAUGCUGACAUU